UGGAUUUUGUGGCUGAAAACAUCCGCCGGGGCUAUCCACUCCCCUUCCCAAUCCCCAAGAGCUCUCUCCCCUCGCCCGUCUCUGCUGUGCUGUGCUGUGCUGUGACUCUCCAUAGCUCGCCGCCGCAGCAGAUCUGCUCUGCCAUGGAGAUGGAGGCUGAUCUUCCCCGAUGUCGCCCCAUCCGCUGGCUUCCUCCGCAUACCCCGCACCACGGCGAACACCUACUGUCGGAGUCCGCCCUCGUCGACACGCUGGUCUACGUCGACGGCCGCACCAGCGCCUCAACCAGCUAGUGCAUGUGCACCACCGAGAGCGGCGACGUCCUCGGCCUCACCAUCUGGGCGCUCCUCUCCUACUUCACCGUCCACCUCCCCGGCCUCCUCCCUGCCACCCCGCUCGAUCGUCUGCCCCGCGUCCUCCGCACCCACGGCGACGUCGCCCUCCUCCGCAUCCCCGUCGGCCCGAAAGGCAACGACUACUUUCUCUACAGCGCCAGCGCCCGCUUCAGCAUGGUCAUGCCCCUCCCCACCUGCCCGCUCACCGACGGUUCUAUCGGCCUUCUGCGCUGCCCGGGCCAAGACAGGCUCUUUCUCGCCGUUCUCCACAAGACCUUGGCCCGGGGGUACUACGCCGUCGACCUGUUGGAGUUCGACCACGGGUCGUGGACCUGGAGCACUCGUCUGAUGCAUGCCAAGUCGCCUCAGGAAUGUGACUUUGGCAUCCCGACCAAGUCCUUCGCCCUCCCGGGCUCGAUCUGCUGGGUCGACCAUGUGAAAGGCAUCCUUAUCUGUGAUCUGCUAGAUGGUGAUGAUGAAGUCCUUUGUUUCAUACGGUUCCCUGUGCAAGAAGAAGAGAAUUGCAAGCUAUGAUCGGGAUGUUGCUGUCGGCUCGGAUGGCUGCAUCAGAUACAUGGAGGUGUGGGCUCAUCCCGUGCCUGGAUCAGACAAUGGCGUCACCUACACUCCGCAGGACUGGGGCGCCGCCAUAGAAAGAUGGCUGGAGCCCGAUAAGAAGUGGAUAAUCAGCCAUGAGCUCAAGGCAUCACAGAUUGCGGUGGACGACAGCCACUCUGGGUUGCUUCCUCGUGUCGAGGCUGCAAUGGAGAGUCCAAUCUUGAGUAGACUCCACGCAGGGCAUCCUGCUCUCAGCUUGCAUGACGAUGAUGUUGUUUACAUCAUGGCCAAGGUUGACCACAGGGACGAACAGUCGUGGAUGCUCUUGACAUGAGGAGCAAGACUCUGAAGGGGGUAGCUGCUCUAAGAACGGGAAGAUCCUUUGGUUACAUCUUCUUCCCAAGUGAAAUCUUCAAGCUCCUCGAAAAAGAAGAAGGUGGAGCUGCAAGAGGAUCCUCGGUUGCUGUGUGACCUUCUGCGGACAUAGAAGACGAAGAGCCUAAACGUCUAAAACAACUAUUGUAUUAAUCAUUGGGAGCGAUUCAAGUGGCGCUUCAUUUUCUAGAUGCUCCGUUGCUUGCACUUUAAAAUAGAAGAACUCAGCAUUUAAGGUCUGGUCAUUUCGGUAACUGACAAUGAAUUUCUUGCCAUGAAGCCUCUCUAUGGCGGGUAAUUUGCUCUUACCUUUGCAUGAGCUGUAGUGCAGUCUGCAUCAGCGGAUGUUGGGUUUGUUUGAUCCUCUGCUUCUAUGUCUAUUGGAAGGAAUGAAAUUUUGAAUCUGUCAAAGCAAAUCUGUAUGUGUGCACACCAUAUGGGCAGAAAAUCACACAUGAUGCAUCUACAGAAUACCUUGGCCAUGGUUCAGUGUCAACACAGGUGG
rnacentral:rRNA from 1 species